AGGCUUAACACAUGCAAGUCGAGCGGUAGCACAGGAGAGCUUGCUCUCUGGGUGACGAGCGGCGGACGGGUGAGUAAUGUCUGGGAAACUGCCUGAUGGAGGGGGAUAACUACUGGAAACGGUAGCUAAUACCGCAUAACGUCGCAAGACCAAAGAGGGGGACCUUCGGGCCUCUUGCCAUCAGAUGUGCCCAGAUGGGAUUAGCUAGUAGGUGGGGUAAUGGCUCACCUAGGCGACGAUCCCUAGCUGGUCUGAGAGGAUGACCAGCCACACUGGAACUGAGACACGGUCCAGACUCCUACGGGAGGCAGCAGUGGGGAAUAUUGCACAAUGGGCGCAAGCCUGAUGCAGCCAUGCCGCGUGUGUGAAGAAGGCCUUCGGGUUGUAAAGCACUUUCAGCGAGGAGGAAGGUGGUGAGCUUAAUACGCUCAUCAAUUGACGUUACUCGCAGAAGAAGCACCGGCUAACUCCGUGCCAGCAGCCGCGGUAAUACGGAGGGUGCAAGCGUUA
rnacentral:rRNA from 1 species